rnacentral:miRNA from 1 species
UUCCGGUCGACGAGGUACGUCGUAUCUCAUUAACCGGAAGGAUUUCCUUCCGGUCAUCGAGGUACAUCGCAUCUCGUUGACCGGAAUUGAUUCCUUCCGGUCAACGAGAUACGAUGUACCACGUUGAACCGAAGGAAGCCCUUCCGAUCAACGAGAUACGAUUUACCACGUUGAACCGAA